UACGUAGGUGGCAAGCGUUGUCCGGAUUUAUUGGGUUUAAAGGGUGCGUAGGCGGUCUUGUAAGUCAGUGGUGAAAUAUCUCAGCUUAACUGAGAGGGUGCCAAUGAUACUGCAGGGCUUGAGUACAGAUGAGGUAGGCGGAAUUGACGGUGUAGCGGUGAAAUGCUUAGAUAUCGUCAAGAACACCUAUAGCGAAGGCAGCUUACUAAGCUGUAACUGACGCUGAGGCGCGAAAGUGUGGGGAUCAAACAGG
rnacentral:rRNA from 1 species